rnacentral:rRNA from 1 species
AUGAACUGCGUCAAGAUUCUCGUACUGCUCUCCCUCAUCCCUCUCGCGCUGAGGGGGGCGUCGCUCCUCGUCGUCCCGUCACCUUCCGCCCCUGACUCUGCAUCACGCACCGGCGUCUUGGCUCCGGUGCCGGCGGAGCAGUGGAGGCAGGAGCGGAGGAGGACGGUGGGCCGUCAGACUCGGGGCGGCCGCGCCACCACCAUCGCUCCCUUCGCCCCGCGGCGGUUCGGCGGCUUCUUCCGGGACGACAAGAGGUUCGCGCCGACGGGGUCGAACCCGCUGCACAACCUGUGA